UACGUAGGUGGCAAGCGUUAUCCGGAAUUAUUGGGCGUAAAGCGCGCGUAGGCGGCAAGAUUAGUCUGAUGUGAAAGCCCCCGGCUCAACCGGGGAGGGUCAUUGGAAACUGUCUUGCUUGAGUGCAGAAGAGGAGAGUGGAAUUCCAUGUGUAGCGGUGAAAUGCGCAGAGAUAUGGAGGAACACCAGUGGCGAAGGCGGCUCUCUGGUCUGCAACUGACGCUGAUGUGCGAAAGCGUGGGGAUCAAACAGG
rnacentral:rRNA from 1 species